ACACCUCAACUCUCAUGGUUUGCCAUGAUGAGCUUGGACUUUGGGGGUCUUGCUGGCCUAUGGUCAGCUCCUCUCAAAUGAAUCAGCUUGCCAGUGUUUGGUGGCAUCGCGGGUGUGAUAACUAUCUACACUUGUGGUUUUCCACCAGAUAACCUUCAGUGAUGAAGGUUCGCUGGAGCUCACAAAUGUCUCUCCUCGGCGAGGACAGCUUUCUGAAC
rnacentral:misc_RNA from 1 species